GACAGACAGACAGACAGACAGGACCGCAAGACACCUUAAUAUAUUGUUAUAAGUGUUUAUGUUAACUUGGACUUACUAUAAAACGUUUCUCGUAUUGCAAGAGUCACUUCAAGAGAGAAAAGAGGAACAGGAAGAAAGUGAAGAGGAGAAGGAGGAAGAGGAAGAGGAGGAAGAGGAUAGAAAGAUCUGUAUUGUAUGGAAAUAAUAACGAAGAAAAAGAAGAAGAGGAGGAGGAAAAGGAGGAAGAAUAAUAAAGAGGAAGAAAAAGAAUAAGAAGGAAGAAAAGAGGAGGAAGAGGAGGAAAAGGAAGAGGAUAGAAAGAUCUGUAUUGUAUGGAAAUAAUAACGAAGAAAAAGAAGAAGAAGAGGAGGAGGAAAAGGAGGAAGAAUAAUAAAGAGGAAGAAAAAGAAUAAGAAGGAAGAAAAGAAGAAGAAGAAGAGGAGGAAGAGGAAGAAAAUAGAAAAAUCUGUAUUGCAUGAAAAUAAUAAAAAAGGAAGAAAAAGAAUAAGAAGGAAGAAAAGAAAAAAAAGAAGAGGAGGAAGAGGAAGAAAAUAGAUAAAUAUGUAUUGUAUGAAAAUAAUAAAAAAGGAAGAAAAAGAAUAAGAAGGAAGAAGAGAAGAAGAAGAGGAGGAAGAGGAGGAGAAUAGGAAGAUCUGUACUCCAUGAAAAUAAUAAAAAAAGGAAGAAAAAGCAGAAGAAGGAAGAAAAGAAGAAGAAGAGGAAGAGGAAGAGAAUAGGAAGAUCUGUACUCCAUGAAAAUGAUAAGAAAAGGAAGAAAAAGAAGAAGGAAGAAAAGAAGAAGAAGAAGAAGAGGAAGAGGAGGAUAAUAGGAAGAUCUGUAUUCCAUGACUUUCCCUCAAAACCACCACUGAAGAAGAAUACAAAACAAAGAAGGAAUAAAAUCACUUCACAAAGCAGUGGAGUGGUCGGCAUAUGUACCUGUCUGCCAGCACUUCAGUACACCCACCUGUCUACACACACAUUUUUGGAUCGAGCCAUGGCCGGGGAAGUGAGGCGAAAGAUGCUGCGGGCUAUGGAGAGAGCUGUUGACGAAGGCGAUGGUGGUGUUGAGAGGUGAUGUGGCGGUGACUACUAUAACAACCAUUACUACGACUGCUACUAUGUAAGGAGAGAAGAACCAAAGAAGAGAGCAGCAGCAAGAGGAGGAGACCUUAAGAAGAGAACAGUAGUGGAUAUCCUGUUCUGACUUGAAAGGAGAAACAAUAAAGAAUACUAUAUAGCAAUGGUGUGUUUAUUGUGUGCCCUUGUCUUACAUUCUACUUUCAUCUUGUUCCUCUGUCAUCCUCUCUUGUCUUCUAUCCUCUUGAUUCGACUCUUCCUCCUCUCUAACACGCAUGCGGGGACACACCAGCCCAGAGUCUUCGCGCCCCGCGCUAAACCUCCGCCCCGCCGUUGAUAGCAGUAGGAACAGGCGUGGUGAGCGUGUGUAGCGCCGCCCCGCACGUCUGAAGGAGAGACGCCAACAGGAAUCUUGGUUCUCUGAGUAGCAGGCAACACCGCCGCCGCCUCGCCCACGCCCGCAACGUCCUGAGGAGUACACAGAUGUCAAUACACAUGUUAUGGUAGCUUGUAUCGUGUAUAUAGAGCACUGGAACUACGAAUUAUUACGAAACUAUCACAGACUGACGGAAAAUAUUAAAAUGAACAAAUGAAAUUACACACAUUACUACAUCCUGAAGCGUGUAUAAAGCACUGGAAUUUAACUGGUAACAAACUAUCAUUCAUUAACAAGGAAAAUAGUUCUAAGGUAGUUGAUCAA